rnacentral:rRNA from 1 species
GUGCCAGCCGCCGCGGUAAUACGUAGGGUACGAGCGUUGUCCGGAAUUAUUGGGCGUAAAGAGCUCGUAGGUGGUUGGUCACGUCUGCUGUGGAAACGCAACGCUUAACGUUGCGCGUGCAGUGGGUACGGGCUGACUAGAGUGCAGUAGGGGAGUCUGGGAUUCCUGGUGUAGCGGUGAAAUGCGCAGAUAUCAGGAGGAACACCGGUGGCGAAGGCGGGACUCUGGGCUGUAACUGACACUGAGGAGCGAAAGCAUGGGGAGCGAACAGGAUUAGAU